rnacentral:rRNA from 1 species
AACGAACGCUGGCGGCAUGCCUAACACAUGCAAGUCGAACGAGAUCUUCGGGUCUAGUGGCGCACGGGUGCGUGACGCGUGGGAAUCUGCCCUUUGGUUCGGAAUAACAGUUGGAAACGACUGCUAAUACCGGAUGAUGACGAAAGUCCAAAGAUUUAUCGCCAGAGGAUGAGCCCGCGUAGGAUUAGCUAGUUGGUGUGGUAAAGGCGCACCAAGGCGACGAUCCUUAGCUGGUCUGAGAGGAUGAUCAGCCACACUGGGACUGAGACACGGCCCAGACUCCUACGGGAGGCAGCAGUGGGGAAUAUUGGACAAUGGGCGAAAGCCUGAUCCAGCAAUGCCGCGUGAGUGAUGAAGGCCUUAGGGUUGUAAAGCUCUUCUACCCGGGAUGAUAAUGACAGUACCGGGAGAAUAAGCUCCGGCUAACUCCGUGCCAGCCGCCGCAGUAA